GACGAGGCACUACGGUGCUGAAGCAACAAAUGCCCUGCUUCCAGGAAAAGCCUCUAAGCAUCAGGUAACACGAAAUCGUACCCCAAACCGACACAGGUGGUCAGGUAGAGAAUACCAAGGCGCUUGAGAGAACUCGGGUGAAGGAACUAGGCAAAAUGGUGCCGUAACUUCGGGAGAAGGCACGCUGACACGUAGGUGAAGUGAUUUACUCAUGGAGCUGAAGUCAGUCGAAGAUACCAGCUGGCUGCAACUGUUUAUUAAAAACACAGCACUGUGCAAACACGAAAGUGGACGUAUACGGUGUGACGCCUGCCCGGUGCCGGAAGGUUAAUUGAUGGGGUCAGCGCAAGCGAAGCUCCUGAUCGAAGCCCCGGUAAACGGCGGCCGUAACUAUAACGGUCCUAAGGUAGCGAAAUUCCUUGUCGGGUAAGUUCCGACCUGCACGAAUGGCGUAAUGAUGGCCAGGCUGUCUCCACCCGAGACUCAGUGAAAUUGAACUCGCUGUGAAGAUGCAGUGUACCCGCGGCAAGACGGAAAGACCCCGUGAACCUUUACUAUAGCUUGACACUGAACAUUGAGCCUUGAUGUGUAGGAUAGGUGGGAGGCUUUGAAGUGUGGACGCCAGUCUGCAUGGAGCCGACCUUGAAAUACCACCCUUUAAUGUUUGAUGUUCUAACGUGGACCCGUAAUCCGGGUUGCGGACAGUGUCUGGUGGGUAGUUUGACUGGGGCGGUCUCCUCCUAAAGAGUAACGGAGGAGCACGAAGGUUGGCUAAUCCUGGUCGGACAUCAGGAGGUUAGUGCAAUGGCAUAAGCCAGCUUGACUGCGAGCGUGACGGCGCGAGCAGGUGCGAAAGCAGGUCAUAGUGAUCCGGUGGUUCUGAAUGGAAGGGCCAUCGCUCAACGGAUAAAAGGUACUCCGGGGAUAACAGGCUGAUACCGCCCAAGAGUUCAUAUCGACGGCGGUGUUUGGCACCUCGAUGUCGGCUCAUCACAUCCUGGGGCUGAAGUAGGUCCCAAGGGUAUGGCUGUUCGCCAUUUAAAGUGGUACGCGAGCUGGGUUUAGAACGUCGUGAGACAGUUCGGUCCCUAUCUGCCGUGGGCGCUGGAGAACUGAGGGGGGCUGCUCCUAGUACGAGAGGACCGGAGUGGACGCAUCACUGGUGUUCGGGUUGUCAUGCCAAUGGCACUGCCCGGUAGCUAAAUGCGGAAGAGAUAAGUGCUGAAAGCAUCUAAGCACGAAACUUGCCCCGAGAUGAGUUCUCCCUGAGACUUAG
rnacentral:rRNA from 1 species